rnacentral:rRNA from 1 species
AACGAACGCUGGCGGCAUGCCUAACACAUGCAAGUCGAACGAGACCUUCGGGUCUAGUGGCGCACGGGUGCGUAACGCGUGGGAAUCUGCCCUUGGGUUCGGAAUAACAGGUAGAAAUGACUGCUAAUACCGGAUAAUGACGUAAGUCCAAAGAUUUAUCGCCCAAGGAUGAGCCCGCGUAGGAUUAGCUUGUUGGUGAGGUAAAGGCUCACCAAGGCGACGAUCCUUAGCUGGUCUGAGAGGAUGAUCAGCCACACUGGGACUGAGACACGGCUCAGACUCCUACGGGAGGCAGCAGUGGGGAAUAUUGGACAAUGGGCGAAAGCCUGAUCCAGCAAUGCUGCGUGAGUGAUGAAGGCCUUAGGGUUGUAAAGCUCUUUUACCCGGGAUGAUAAUGACAGUACCGGGAGAAUAAGCCCCGGCUAACUCCGUGCCAGCCGCCGCAGUAACAC